GCGUUAAUCGGAAUCACUGGGCUUAAAGGGCGCGUAGGCGGUCCUGCAAGUGCGCUGUGAAAUCCCCCGGCUCAACCGGGGAACUGCGGGGCAUACUGCGGGUCUUGAGGAAGGUAGGCGGCCAGGGAACAGUAGGUGGAGCGGUGAAAUGCGUAGAUAUCUGCUGGAACGCCGAUGGUGAAGACGCUCGGCUGGGCCUUUCCUGACGCUGAGGCACGAAAGCGUGGGGAGCAAACAGG
rnacentral:rRNA from 1 species